rnacentral:rRNA from 1 species
UACAGAGGUCCCAAGCGUUACUGAGAAUCACUGGGUUUAAGGGGUGCGUAGGUGGUCCGUUAAGUCAGUUGUGAAAUCCCCGGGCUCAACCCGGGAACUGCUUCUGAUACUGGCGGACUUGAGGCCAGUAGAGGUCACUGGAACUGACGGUGGAGCGGUGAAAUGCGUAGAUAUCGUCAGGAACGCCGGUGGUGAAGACGGGUGACUGGGCUGGUUCUGACACUGAGGCACGAAAGCGUGGGGAGCGAACGGG